rnacentral:rRNA from 1 species
UACGUAGGAUGCAAGCGUUGUUCGGAAUUACUGGGCGUAAAGAGUACGUAGGCGGUAAUGUAAGUCUGAUAUUAAAGACCAAAGCUUAACUUCGGGACUGUAUUGGAAACUGCAUUACUAGAGGACAAUAGAGGAAGUUGGAAUUCUCAGUGUAGCGGUGAAAUGCGUAGAUAUUGGGAAGGACACCAGUGGCGAAAGCGAACUUCUGGGUUGUUACUGACGCUGAGGUACGAAAGCGUGGGGAGCAAACGGG